AUGCACAAAAGAGAGAUGAUGGGGGCAUUGGGCAUUACAACAGAAGGCUUGAAAGAGAGAUACCAUGGACUACCAGCUUAUAUUGGGAAGGCGAAAUCUAAAGCUUUCCAGUAUAUAAAGGAAAAAGUGUGGAAUAAGAUACAAGGCUGGAAGGAGAGGUUACUAUCCAAAGCAGGAAAGGAAAUUCUAAUCAAGGCAGCAGCUCAAGCGAUCCCAGUAUACACUAUGGCCUGCUUUGACCUAACAAAAAGUUUGUGUGAUGAACUUAGUUCCAUGAUAACUAAGUUCUGGUGGAGCCAAGUGGACAAAGUAAACAAAAUCCACUGGACUAGCUGGGAGAAGCUCUCAAAACCAAAGAGAGUCGGUGGAUUAGGAUUCAGGGACCUCCAUGCUUUCAAUAUGGCCAUGCUUGCUAAACAAGCAUGGCAACUGCUUCAGAAUCUGUCCUCACUAUGCGCCAAAGUACUACAGGCCAAAUAUCAUCCAGGGAACAGCAUAAUCGAAGCGACUCCAAAAAAGGGAAUAUUGUAUUCAUGGCGUAGUAUUUUGAAAGGCGUGCAACUGCUGAAAAGAGGUAUAAUUUGGAGAGUCGGAAAUGGGCAAAACAUCAAAAUCUGGACGGAUCCCUGGCUCCCAAGAGGAACUACAAGAAGGGUCACCUCAUUUUGUGGGAGACAAGUGAUUUCGAAGGUUGCGGACCUUAUAGACCCACAAAUAAAUAGUUGGGAUGCUAACCUUGUGCACCAAACUUUCAAUGCAGAGGAUUCAAAAAUAAUCCUGUAG
rnacentral:rRNA from 1 species